rnacentral:lncRNA from 1 species
AGUUAGCGGAUGGCAUGCCCGGAAGCCAUCUGAAAUCACCUCUAGAGUUUGGGGACCACUGCGUGAGACAGGGAAAAGUCCAAACCCCUCUGAGAAGGGGAAGAGAGCAGCUGGCGCAGGGCACCAAGCCUUCAGGGAAAAGCCCCACUCGCUGCAUGGCGAGGAAACGAGACCUCUUUCGUUCCUUCUAGAAGGUCUGGAGGACGUAGAGUUAUUGAAAAUGCAGAUGGUUCUGAGGAGGAAACGGACACUCGAGACGCAGACUUCAAUGGAACCAAGGCCAGUGAAUAAGCAACUUUCUACAGUUUUGCACCACGGCAAGAAAACCAAAAACCAAAACAAACAAACAAAAAAAACCCAACAACAACCCAGAACAAAGCAAAACCCAGCAGACUGUACUUAGCAUUGUCUAAAUCCAUUCUCAAAUUCCAAAUAUCACAGACACCCCUCACACAAGGAAUAUAAAAACCACCACCCUCCAGCCUGGGCAACGUAGUAAAACCUCAUCUAUACAAGAAUUUAAAAAUAAGCUGGGCGUGGU